rnacentral:rRNA from 1 species
UUGCUCUUCAACGAGGAAUGCCUAGUAAGCGCGUGUCAUCAGCAUGCGUUGAUUACGUCCCUGACCUUUGUACACACCGCCCGUCGCUACUACCGAUUGAAUGGCUCAGUGAGGCGUUCGGACUGGCUCGGGGAGGUUGGCAACGACCACCCCAAGCCGGAAAGUUCGUCAAACUCGGUCAUUUAGAGGAAGUAAAAGUCGUAACAAGGUCUCCGUAGGUGAACCUGCGGAGGGAUCAUUACACAAUAAAAUACGAAGGCCGUUCGCGGCUGGACUAUUUAUUACCCUUGUCUUUUGCGCACUUGUUGUUUCCUGGGCGGGUUCGCUCGCCACCAGGACCACAAUAUAAACCUUUUUUAUGCAGUUGCAAUCAGCGUCAGUAUAACAAAUGUAAAUCAUUUACAACUUUCAACAACGGAUCUCUUGGUUCUGGCAUCGAUGAAGAACGCAGCGAAAUGCGAUACGUAGUGUGAAUUGCAGAAUUCAGUGAAUCAUCGAAUCUUUGAACGCACAUUGCGCCCUUUGGUAUUCCAAAGGGCAUGCCUGUUCGAGCGUCAUUUGUACCCUCAAGCUUUGCUUGGUGUUGGGCGUUUUUGUCUUUGGCCCGCCAAAGACUCGCCUUAAAAUGAUUGGCAGCCGGCCUACUGGUUUCGCAGCGCAGCACAUUUUUGCGCUUGCAAUCAGCAAAAGAGGACGGCAAUCCAUCAAGACUCCUUCUCACGUUUGACCUCGGAUCAGGUAGGGAUACCCGCUGAACUUAAGCAUAUCAAUAAGCGGAGGA